rfam:Dipodomys ordii contig_43369, whole genome shotgun sequence.
GGUGGCUCAGUGGUAGAGCGCUUGCCUCGCAUGCAUGAGGUCCUGGGUUCAAUUCCUCAGCACCA